rnacentral:lncRNA from 1 species
AAUCUUGUCCAAUAUCUGGAACCAAACAUAACUAAGAUUAGUUUUUUUAUUUUUCUUUUUGUUAUUGUAAUAACUUUUUCCUAAAUAUGUUGUAUGAAGACUGCCAUGCACAAUGUGCAACUGUGAAGAAUUCAUUGAAUAACUCCUUGAGAGUAAUCUCUAUUCCAUCACCCCUACCUAGUUCGUCAUGUGUGGAAUUCCCAGAAACCCUAGAAACUGAGACAGGGAAGUUUGGUCAUGCUCAGAUUUGGAGAGUAUUCUUAAUUCAUCUGGUAUGAUGAAAUGCCCUCUUAAGAGGUGUAGAGCUCAGUCUGAUAUAUUGAUGGCUAAUCUACAUUGAAGAAUAAAUCACAUGCACCCUCCACCAGCAAGCUCUGCAGUUUAGGCUUUCCAUAGCUAACAUCUGGAACAAAGUGGGACCUUUUGGCAACAUUUGCAACAGCAAGUAUGAUGUAAUACAAGCCAUAAUCCAAACCACAUCUGAUCACCUUGCUCCCAUGUUUCUUCAUAUAUAAUAUGGCAUAAAAGCGCCCUUGGAAGUAAACAGAUUCCAUACCCCCAGUCACCAUACAUAGCAGCAAAUAGGGGAGGAAUAGAACUGAUGAUGUAAUAUUCAGGAGUUGCUUCCUGAUACUGUCCGGCACUGCAUAUUCCCAAUACCUGAUCAGAGCCUGGUGAAAGAAAGGAAGAGCAACCAUUACCACAAUCCCUUGGCAGUUGAAAGCUAGCAAUCAACAACUUAAUUUCAAUGCAUAGUGAUAUUAUUGAAAUGCUUAUUCACCCGUACACUUGGAGAACUGCAUGAAAAGUUGAAUUUUCCCAAUGGGAAGCAUUUGGGUGUCUUCUAGGAUGUGCUCCUCAUUGACACCAACUUGUGGACCAUCCCACAAAGUGCAAAAAUAGUGAUGGGGAUGCAAUAUCUAUUGUAAAUAUAAGGAAGACCAUGCACAUGAUGACAUUAACUUAUUGGUAUGGUUGGAGUGGGCAGAAGUUGAUGGCUAGGAGAAGGCAUGCAAGACAGGCACAAGGGACUUGAGAUGAGGUCAAUGUGUUUGCUAUGCUAGGGUUUCAUCAUUCCUCGAACAGCAACAUUCACAUUUUCUUCAGGUUGGAUUGUUAUGGACUCUGCAUCCUUGAUGUGAAAGACUUCCCAGCAUAGUGGCAUCAGUACCUCCAGAAGUAAACCUUCACAGUCCUGUUACCUUCUUCAAUCCUAUUCUGCAAUACAUGCCAAGCAAAUAUUCAUUUGCUGCUAUCUUUACCCUAAACAUUCCUCCUUUACCCAGUUAAAAACACAAUGAUAACAGUAAAAAAAAAAAAAAAAAAAAAAAAAAGAGGUCAGCCAACACACCCUAAAUAUGAUGAGCAGAUGAUUGGGGAUGUUGAGCCUCAUUAUGAAUCAAGCAGGUUUUAGUGAAGAAUUUCUCAGACAUCAUGGAGGACACAACAAUUCUGAGAAUUUGCAAACCAAGGAGCAUCUGCCAAAGUAUUAUCCCACCAAAAUUUAUACUAAUAUAUUGACAUGCUAAAAUCAUAUUAUAUGUUAUUUAUAAAAAAGAAAUAUAAAAAACACUUUUAUCAACUGAUAUAUAUUAAACAAAUAGAAGCAUUUGUUAGAAAUUAGGUUUUGACUUUGCCAAUGCCAUCAAUCAAUAUAUAUAUAUAUAUAUAUAUACAUAUAUAUAUAUAUAAGAUCUAUUAAUUGUUUUUUAAAUCCAUCUUUAUCACUUCUUUUUUUGUCUUUUAGAAGAAAUUGCAUCAACACAAUCAAUGAUAAGAAAUAUUUUACCUAGUCUAAAUAUCAAGAAAGAAAUUCUAAAAAAAUAUAGGUCUUUUCAAGUAUGAUUAGAAUCUACAACUAAUUGAUUAAUAGUUAAUUGUUCUACCUCUAAGUUGCUGAGAAAUAAUAGCAAGAGUUUAAUCUCAUAUAGGCUUAAAGAAUUUGUUUCUUAAAACCAAUCUAUAAUGCUUAAAGCAUUAAAAAAACAAAAAAAAAUCAAUAUCUUUUGGAACUUUGGAAAUCUACCUCUUCUUGUCUUUCAAUGCACAAAAAAAAAAAAAUACAAACAAACAAACAAUGAUACUAAUUUCUUUUGCCUUUGCAAAUAACAUCUCUAAGACAAAGAAAACUUAUCAACAAUCACUAUGUUCUUCUCUACUAUCUCUUCUAAGAUCCAUACUAAUCAAUUGAUUUCUACAAUGCUAUAAUUUUAUUUUUAAUUAAAUAUAUAUUAAUUACCAAAAAAGACUUGUUUAUCCUUGCAAACAACAAAG